AUGGCAGUGAGAGGUGAUACACGAAUUCUCCUUCUCGUAAUUUUAUGUAUUUUCUUGUUAAAAUCGUGUAAUGGGGCCGCGACAGAUAUUGAAUUAGACGCGAAGGCACAGCUAUUGCACAGGCUCGAUAGUUUGAACCUUUUACUAUACACAUUUUUAUUGAUAUUAACUGUUUUAACAAUAUGGACUUUUAAGCAUCGUCGACUUAGGUUCCUCCAUGAAACUGGGCUAGCUGUCAUUUAUGGAUUAAUUAUAGGAGCAAUAAUUCGUUAUGGCUUUACAACAAGUAGUACCAUUCUUCAUAUGCCCGUUGUGCCAGAUGCCAGCAGUAAAUAUAAUCAAUCAGUUCCUCCAGAUACAUUAUGGUUGCGUUUUCCAGAAGACAAAGGAGGUGGUGUUAUUAAAAAUAAGACAUUUGCCUAUUCAUUUAGAGGAGAAAUUUAUAAGCAAGAUAAUGAGAUAGAUUUGAAGGCAACCUUUGAUCCAGAAAUAUUUUUUAAUAUUAUUUUACCACCGAUCAUUUUCCAUGCUGGAUAUAGUUUAAAACGUAAAUACUUUUUUAGAAACUUAGGAGCAAUUCUUAUGUAUGCUUUAAUUGGAACAUCUAUAUCAGCUUUCGUUAUUGGAGCUUUGAUGUAUGCCUUUGUACAGUUAAUACCACAUCUUUCUGCUUCAUUUACAUUUUUGGAUACUUUGUAUUUUGGUGCAUUAAUAUCUCCUACGGAUCCACUGACAAUAAUUUCUAUUUUUAAUGAUUUACAUGUAGAUGUAAAUUUAUAUGCUUUAGUAUUUGGAGAAAGUGUAUUAAAUGAUGCAGUUGCAAUUGUACUUAGUGGUUCUAUACAAAAUUAUGGAGAACGUUAUCAAUCAGGUUCAGGUGGAUUUGAAACUGUAGCAUUUUUCCAAGCAUUUGGUGAUUUUGUUGGAAUAUUUAGUUUAUCUUUAUUUAUUGGUGCUACUAUGGGAUGUAUCACUGCUUUGUUAACUAAAUUUACUAGAGUUCGAGAUUUUCCCCUUUUGGAAUCAGCAUUGUUUGUUUUAAUGUCUUAUAGUACAUUUUUAAUUGCUGAAGCAUCUGAUCUUACAGGUGUAGUCGCUGUUUUAUUCUGUGGUAUUUGUCAAGCACAUUACACAUAUAAUAAUUUAAGUCCGGAUUCGCGUCAACGAACAAAACAAUUGUUUGAACUUUUAAAUUUUUUAGCUGAAAACUUCAUAUUCAGCUAUAUUGGUGUUUCAAUGUUUACUUUUCCGAAGCACCAUUUUGAUCCAGGAUUUAUUUUUGCAGGAUUUCUCUGUGCGUUAUUAGGUCGCGCAGCCAAUGUAUAUCCAUUAUCCUUUAUAUUGAAUUUAGCGCGAAAACCAAAGAUAUCGUUAAAUUAUCAGCACAUGUUAUUUUUUGCUGGGUUACGCGGAGCUAUGAGUUUUGCUCUAGCCAUCAGAAAUACUGUAUCUGAUGCUCGGCAGGCUAUGUUAACAACGACGAGUUUAAUUGUAAUUCUGACGGUCAUUUUCCAGGGUGGUGCAACAACUCAGUUUUUAAGCUGGUUUAAUAUACCAGUUGGAGUAGAUGAAGAAAUAGAAGGACUAUCACACAAUGGAAUGCGUAGUUCUGGUGGCGAAGGUGGCUUUGGAGAUCUGGACAUACGUAGGGAGCGAAGUCCGCCGUAUAAUUCUAUGCAGGAUGGAUCAUUACCAGGCAGUGGCAUAAAACCUAAUGAAAAAGCAUUACUUGCUAGAAUCUGGGGUGAUUUUGAUACUCGCUACAUGAAACCAUUCUUAACUCACUCCAGGCCUACAUUGCUGGAAACAUUACCAGUUUGUUGCACACCUCUAGCCAGGAUCCUUACAACAACACAACAAAUGACACAGGAUGAAGCUGUUAGAAAAGCAGAUUCAGAUUCAGACUUUUGUCUUGAAGAUCGCGAACUGGAGCGACGAAGGACUAGUAUUCAACCGACACAUGUAAGGAGCUCUCCAAACAGAACACAUUUAUAAGAAUAAAUCUAAUAUGAUUUAUUGAGUUGUGUACAUUUUUGGGGGCAUUUGGCUGCAAUUGAUUUAAGUAAUAUUUUCUUUCUUGUCAAAUAUGCCAGAAAUAUAAUAUUUAACAUUAAUAUGUUAUUUCAUACAGAUUCUAAUUCAGUAUGUUUAAUUUUUAACAUUCUCUAAUUUUGUUACCAGAUAAAUUUUAAUUUCUUCAAAUGAUACAAAACAUAUGUAUAUGCUUUCUGAUACAUUGUAAUCAACAUCUCAGAUAGUAUUUAGUGAGGAAAGUAUGACAUAGGUAUGUGCGUAUGCAAUGUUGGUGUCAAGUAUUACCUAUUAUUGUUGUACUAUAGUUUCUAUAAAUGUUGAUUAUAUUUUCCUGAUAUUUAUUUUCUUUGGAAAGUAUUAUCCAAUAUUUCGGAUAACAAAAGACAUUGACAACAAAAAAUUAAAUCUGGGAACUGUGAUGGGAGAAGUUAGUCCGGGACCACUACCAUUGCACACACGCGUCGCCUUGCCAGGUUUGGUCGGCAAACAUUUAUAGAGACUAAUUGAUAUUGGUAAAUAAAUUUAUCUUUUUAUGUGUAAUAUUAAAUGUGCAACUGAUAAAUGUAUUUAUUCGAAAAGCUUAAAAAAUCUAUGUAAACUAUUAGUAUUAUAUCUAAUACUAUCCAUUAUAAAUAGAAUUUGGAAGAUGUUUC